GAAAGCACUAUCACAUUCAUUGCAUUCAUAAGAUUUCUCUUCUGUGCAAGGUCCAGUCUCUGCUGAGGGUGAAUGUCUGACAUCUGGCUGUCCCACAAUAGCUAUGCUCCUAUCUGCUUGGAACUCACUGUUGCCCAAUGAAGUUUGAGUUGCCACAGAAGGAAUCUGCAUAGUCCCCAUGCUAACAAGACUCUCCUCCUGCAUGGGAUCAUUUGUAUGUGAUGAGCUGCAACUCUUUGAGAAACUAUUUUCUAGCUUGACUGAAUCAACCUGUUUCUCUC
rnacentral:lncRNA from 1 species